rnacentral:rRNA from 1 species
CACACCGCCCGUCGCUACUACCGAUUGAAUGGCUCAGUGAGGCUUUCGGACUGGCCUAGAGGAGUCGGCAACGACACCUCAGGGCCGGAAAGUUAUCCAAACUCGGUCAUUUAGAGGAAGUAAAAGUCGUAACAAGGUCUCCGUUGGUGAACCAGCGGAGGGAUCAUUACAGAGUUACAACUCUCCAACCCGUGUGAACAUACCGAUUCAGUUGCCUCGGCGGGUUUUCGGGACCCGCCGAAGUGAUGCAAACCCUGUCUAACCUGAUAUCUGAUACCUAUACAAAUAAGUAAAAACUUUCAACAACGGAUCUCUUGGUUCUGGCAUCGAUGAAGAACGCAGCGAAAUGCGAUAAGUAAUGUGAAUUGCAGAAUUCAGUGAAUCAUCGAAUCUUUGAACGCACAUUGCGCCCGCCAGUAUUCUGGCGGGCAUGCCUGUCUGAGCGUCAUUUCAACCACUCAAGCCCUGUCGCUUGGAGUUGGGACUUCUUACGCCGUAAAAUUCCCCAAAGCCAGUGGCGGAGUCGGAUAGCACUCUGAGCGUAGUAAUUCUCUCGCUUUUGGGCGUGUCCGGCGUCCUGCCGUUUUUUUAUCACGAAAGGUUGACCUCAGAUCAGGUAGGAAUACCCGCUGAACUUAAGCAUAUCAAUAAGCGGAGGAAAAGAAACCAACAGGGAUUGCCCUAGUAACGGCGAGUGAAGCGGCAACAGCUCAAAUUUGAAAUCUGGCCUUCUGGUCCGAGUUGUAAUUUGCAGAGGAUGCUUUUGGCGCGGUGCCUUCCGAGUUCCCUGGAACGGGACGCCUUAGAGGGUGAGAGCCCCGUACGGUCGGACACCAAGCCUCUGUAAAGCUCCCUCGACGAGUCGAGUUGUUUGGGAAUGCAGCUCUAAAUGGGAGGUAAAUUUCUUCUAAAGCUAAAUACCGGCCAGAGACCGAUAGCGCACAAGUAGAGUGAUCGAAAGAUGAAAAGCACUUUGAAAAGAGGGUUAAACAGCACGUGAAAUUGUUGAAAGGGAAGCGUUUAUGACCAGACCUCUGUCUGGCGGAUCAUCCGGGGUUCUCCCCGGUGCACUUCGCCCGGCUCAGGCCAGCAUCGGUUUCUGUGGGGGGAUAAAAGCUCGGGGAACGUAGCUCCCCCGGGAGUGUUAUAGCCCCUUGCAUAAUGCCCCCACGGGGACCGAGGUUCGCGCUCUGCAAGGAUGCUGGCGUAAUGGUUAUCAACGACCCGUCUUGAAACACGGACCAAGGAGUCGAACAUUUGUGCGAGUGUUAGGGUGUCAAACCCCUACGCGUAAUGAAAGUGAACGGAGGUGAGAGCCCUUACGGGUGCAUCAUCGACCGAUCCUGAAGUCUUCGGAUGGAUUUGAGUAAGAGCAUAACUGUUCGGACCCGAAAGAUGGUGAACUAUGCGUGGAUAGGGUGAAGCCAGAGGAAACUCUGGUGGAGGCUCGCAGCGGUUCUGACGUGCAAAUCGAUCGUCAAAUCUGCGCAUGGGGGCGAAAGUGAGUAUUUUCCACGUGACCUAGCUUGAGGUAGUAUGCUAACGAGUGACAGGACUAUCGA